UAUGUUUGAUGAUGACGGUCGUUAAGUAAUCAAUAUUCAGCGAAGAACUUUGCGGAUUUACUAUCCGCAGUGCCCUCUCUAUAGGCCAAGUUAGAUAUUUUGAAAUUUUUAGAAUGAGUAUCGAAAUUCUUGAGCCGUUUUAACGUGUUCUGUGAACAAAACCGGCUCUAUUAUUUUAUCAUAUACAUAUACGAUAUAUUAUAUAUAUUACAUAUAAUAUCUAUAUUAUGUAUGUAUAUAUACUAAACGGGUUACGGGACUCGACGUGCCAUAAGAGCUUGUUGUGAGGUAUACAACCAGUUAUAAAAACUAAGCCAAAAAGGUUCCCCGACAUGCUUGAAAAUGUGUGUCACACCGACCUUUAUUGCAUAUGACUUACACGAAGGCGAAAUGCGUGCUUGGCUUACAUUUAAGCGCGAACGUGCAGCACGCCUGGCGCGUGAAGAGCGGCUG
rnacentral:misc_RNA from 1 species